rnacentral:rRNA from 1 species
UACGUAGGUGGCAAGCGUUGUCCGGAUUUACUGGGCGUAAAGAGCGCGCAGGCGGUCGUUCAAGUCGCGUGUGAAAGUCCCCGGCUCAACUGGGGAGGGUCACGCGAUACUGAUCGACUCGAAGGCAGGAGAGGGUAGUGGAAUUCCCGGUGUAGUGGUGAAAUGCGUAGAUAUCGGGAGGAACACCAGUGGCGAAGGCGACUACCUGGCCUGUUCUUGACGCUGAGGCGCGAAAGCUAGGGGAGCAAACGGG